GUCGUUGUAGUAUAAUGGCAGUAUCCCCGCCUGUCACGCGGAUGACCCGGGUUCGAUCCCCGGCAACGGCG
rfam:Selaginella moellendorffii unplaced genomic scaffold SELMOscaffold_20, whole genome shotgun sequence.